rnacentral:rRNA from 1 species
UACGAAGGGGGCUAGCGUUGCUCGGAAUCACUGGGCGUAAAGGGUGCGUAGGCGGCCAACUAAGUCAGACGUGAAAUCCCUCGGCUUAACCGGGGAACUGCGUCUGAUACUGGAUGGCUUGAAUCCGGGAGAGGGAUGCGGAAUUCCAGGUGUAGCGGUGAAAUGCGUAGAUAUCUGGAGGAACACCGGUGGCGAAGGCGGCAUCCUGGACCGGCAUUGACGCUGAGGAGCGAAAGCCGGGGAGCAAAC